AAGGAAGACAGGAAGGAAUUAAAUAAGGGAAAUGAAAGCAUGUGGGGUCAGAUCAGAUGCCAAAAUGCUGGUAUAGAUCAGCUGUCUUUUAUCCAGGCCUGCCUAGAAGAAAACCCACCCAGAGCUUAGGGGAAUACAUUCUACAUGAAGGACUAGAACUCCUUGAGGAAUCAGACAGGUAUGGAUGAAAAGACCUUUGCUUUCCUGGCUUAAAAAGAAUAUGAGGAAGUUGGUAGAAUAGCUAAGAAUCUACUAAAUAAUUAGGACUGGGCAGGCCUUUUAAAAGAUUAUUAUUCAGUAUAAUUUAAUUACAAAACAAUAGCUAUAAAUAUAAAACAUAACUGUAAAAUUAACUUUUAGAUGCAUUAUUGCUUUGUAUUAUCUACACAAACCUAUGAAACAGAAUUCUCAUCAUCCCUAUUUUACAGAUAGGAAAAUUGAAGUUUAGGGAAAUUUAGACUUUUUCCAAAAUCACUUGGUUAGAACUGUCAGACCCAGAUAAUACUUCAUACCCCCAUUUUGAGACUCUGUGCUUUUCCUGAUAUAUGUUUGUUAUCCCUAUCUUUCAUUUUUCAAGUAUCUUUAACCUGAUUCUCUUUCCAGGUGGUCUUCUGCAUUUUAUAGAUUUUUUUUUGCUUUAGUGCCUAGUUGCAUCUUCUUAGUCUUUAUGCUACAAGGCAAUUAUUCAUGUGUGAUUAAUUUUCACAUCCAGACCACCAACACCCAUGCUUUUCCCACCUUCAGAUAAUGCAUACUUAGGAAAUUUGAGUUAUGCUGGACAGACUAUACAAAGAUAGUUAUCAAUGAAUUUAAAAAAUCUGUUCUUGAUCUCCUGGGAAGGGACAUAGUACCUAACUGAGUGCUAAUUGAUUGUGUCCACCCCCACCCCAACCCCACAGGAGGUUCCCUACCAUCCCACACUUCUAUUAUAUAGGUCUUAAGGAGCAUGAUUUCUGAACCCACCAAUAAUUCAUCAGAUUAAUAUAGACAAGAGGUAAUAAUCACAGCUCGGAGAUGAGGGAAUGAGAUCACACUGACUGAAGAAAUAAAGGGCAGUUUGGAAGAGAAGACCAGGAGCUGCGCCUUCAUUGUUUUUCCUGUCUGUCUGUAGUUCAUUGUGUUCUUGAAAAUGUUACUUUUCCAGUACCUAAUGAAUGAUACAUCAAGGGCUGCCAUGAAACUGUAGGGAGAAACUUUAUGGUAUGACUCAUGAGCCAUGCUGAAUUACAGAUCUUUUCUCAUUAGUCUGAUUAAAAACCUAAGCUCAUUAUGGCUCAGGAAGUGAUUUAGUUUCAAUGCCUUUUGGUUAUGUUUCUUUUUUUAUUUUCUAGGAGCACAUAUUUUGGCUAAGAAUUCAUUUUCUAUUUUAAAUGGUUCUAAAUUUCAAUUCUUAAAAUGUGUAUUCAUUAUCAUAUCAUUCAGACCUGUAAAUGUUCUUUUUAUAUUUUAAGAACUAUUUUUUAAAAGCAAGAGUGAUUUUUAUUU
rnacentral:lncRNA from 1 species